rnacentral:ncRNA from 2 species
CGUCUCGUUGGUGGUGGAGUCCACCUGAACCGCCGGCCCCGACUGGACGGCCAAUGACUCCUGCGGCGAU